AUUGUAGGUCUAUAGUGUUUGGCUCCCUGUCCAUCUGGUAUCGUAGGUCUAUAGUUUUUGUCUCCCUGUCCAUCUGGUAUUGUAUGUCUAUAGUGUUUGGCUCCCUCUCCAUCUGGUAUCGUAGGUCUAUAGUGUUUGGCUCCCUGUCCAUCUGGUAUCGUAGGUCUAUAGUGUUUGGCUCCCUGUCCAUCUGGUAUCGUAGGUCUAUAGUUUUUGUCUCCCUGUCCAUCUGGUAUUGUAUGUCUAUAGUGUUUGGCUCCCUGUCCAUCUGGUAGUGGUUAGAUCAUUGGACUAGUC
ensembl:lncRNA